CGAUUUCUUUUGAAAAAGGGUUUUGUUUUCAAUGAUUAUUCAGUAAAUAGGAAAACACGAAAUAAAUCUUUAAUAAUUAGAAAGAAAACACGAUACAAAAGAAAAGAUAACACGUCACACUUAUCGAAAAUAUUGCACUCAUAUGUAUAUAUAUAUAUAUAUAUAUAACUUUCGUUCAAAUUCUUGACGAUUAAUUUAACACUCCAAGGAUUACAAUAAAAAUAGGAAAUCUUUGACAAAACAAUUAAAUAAUAAACUCAGUAAAAUAUUGAUACAUAAGCGCAUUGAAGUUAAAUUAUGUAUUUACAAAUAUUAGUGACCUACGAUUUACGCUUUCGACAACAGUCGAAUUAAAAACAAUGUUUUACAUCGAAACGCAGAAUAAAUUGCACUUUUUAAACGAAUACAAAUUCUUAUUCAAUUAAGUGCACUUUGAAAGGAAUACAAAUAACAUUCUUAGAUACGCGAUACAAUGUAUUUAAAUCUAAGUUUAUUAUGCAACGCUUUAUCCUUUAUCAUUGGCACAUGAUUGGAGUGUGAUUUUUCUGAUAUUCCAUUUAAACUUUUUAAAUAAAAAGGAAAAUUAAUUACAAGUAUGAAUUACGAUCUAACAGAAUUAGCAAAUUUAUUAAAGGUCUCAUGCACCUAAAAUAACAUAUCAUUCAAAAUAAAAACAAUGAUAAAUUAUUCAUUUUCACAAUAGGUACUGACAAUUCUCCUAACAAUAUGCUAAUUAUGCAUCUACAGGAAAAACAUUUAUGAAAGUUAAACAAGUAUCUAAAUAUCAUAUCAACUGUAUAAAGAUGUGCAACAAUCGAUAUACCCAUCAUAAGUUACACGAUCACAAAAUCGACGUUCACACUACACGGACACAUAUCACUCGAUAAUCUCCAACUACCUUAAUGAACUGGAAAUUGGAAAAUGAUCAAGAAUCAGCUUCAAUGACGAUGUCUAAGACUAUAUGCGAAGUUUAAAUAGUGUUUUCAGAACGUUGGUAAGUGAUUCUUUAAAAAAACAAAAACAACAUGUCUCAUUGAUACUAUCAAAAAAUGCUUAAGUGCUAUUAUUAAAAGCGCAAGUAGGCAGUGCAGUGUUAGAACAAAAUUUCUGUCACUCUAAAUCUUGUCAAAUAAAUUAUUUUUAAACAUAAUGUGUAACAAAGUACGAUGAUCAAUUUUCUCUUAUCAUUGCAAUCUGCAUAGAGUACUUCUCUGUCUCACACAUAAGUCAUACAUACAUACAUACAUAUAUAUAUAUAUAUAUAUAUAUAUAUAUAUAUAUAUAUAUAUAUAUAUAUAUGCCAAGCAUAGAAUAAUACUAGCACGACAGCACUUCAAAUGAAUCCUUGUGACUUUUUUAUCAUUGUGUCUAGAUAAAUAAGCUUCCUUAAACGUGAUAAAAAUUUUAGACUAGGCUUCCAGCUGCAAUAAAAGAAAUUCAUGAGUGCUGCAAUCAUCAAGAUGAUAAUCGCUUUAUUUAAACGAUAUGAUAUGCACCCACAACAUACUUUAACAUUAUCACAGCAUUUCUGUUUAUCAAAGUUUUCUUCAAUACACAUGUAAACAUAUUUUUUAUAUUUAAAAACAAAAUGAGAAAUAAUAAGUCAAAUAUUAAAAACAUGCUUUUGAGUAUAAGACUAAAUCUAUAUGUGUAUAAGAAUGCAUCUUAAUGCAUCUAAAAAAUAAUUUCUAGAUGCGAUCUUCAACAUGAAAAGAUUGUAUGUUAUUUUGAAUAUCACCAAUGAAUGUUAUUAAAUGUAUAGCAAGUUAGCAAUGAAUUUUAGAACUUUAAUUUGACGUAAUACGACGUAGAUUAAAAUUGCAAAACAAUGUUACAUAUAAUUAUAAUGUAACUUAAUAGAAAUUUAAUGUGUUAUACAUGUGUUUUCAAAACAAAAAUUGAUCUCUUUGCUAUUUGCAAUUCCAUCUAUAAUAAGUUCAGAACGCCCAUACAAAGGGAAUAAUGAAAUUCUUUUCUUCAUGGUAUAAAGGUGCAAAAAAUCGCAGAAAUACGAUCAUCUUCAGAAUUUCUAGAUAUAUGUAAGUCACCUUGAGGGCAAUUAUGUGAUUAUGCUAAAGCUUUUACUAUUAUAAUAAAUAAUGAUUUUCGUCGAUUAGGAAGCACCAUCCAUCCAUUCAUUCAUUCAUCCAUUCAUCCACCCAUCCAUCCACCCACCCACCCAUCCAUCCAUCCAUCCAUCCAUCCAUCCAUCCACCCAUCCACCCAUCCAUCCAUCCGUCCAUCCGUCCGUCUCUUAGGCCGAUGGCUGAGCAGUUAAUUUUUGAAGAGCAGUCAUUAGCAGAUUGUUUUACUUUUUCUUUUAAUUAUCAAGGUCCAAUGAGCCUGCUCUGAUAAUAACAUCAAAUCAAUAAUAUGCAGCUUAUACAUAGAUUUUUCGCUUACAAAGGCUUUGUCCUACGUUUCCUUUAUGCGCUGGUUUUUAGUAUUUAAACUUAUUUAUAACUUGAAAAUCGCAGUUCACACCACAUUAUUGAUAUGGGGUAAAAUUCUCACUGAUUAGACAGACGUACGUAGAAUAUAUUCAAUUUUCUAGCUUGUACUCUACCAGACAUUAAACGUACUAGCAACCGAAUUUUUUCACCAAUAACGUUGACUGAUCUCGGCGAAUCGACCUUAGCCAUUGUCGACUAUUAAAAUGAAUCUGAAACAAUGUCUAAACUGACCCUUCACAUCGAUUCCUCGUCAUAUUCCUAAUAAUCCAUUCUCUAUGUUUUGUUGAUAUACUGUCUCAAAUUAAAUGAUCAG